rnacentral:rRNA from 1 species
GAUCAUGGCUCAGGAUGAACGCUAGCGGCAGGCUUAACACAUGCAAGUCGAGGGGCAGCACGAGGUAGCAAUACUUUGGUGGCGACCGGCGCACGGGUGCGUAACGCGUAUGCAACCUACCUUUAACAGGGGCAUAACACUGAGAAAUUGGUACUAAUUCCCCAUAACAUUCGAGAAGGCAUCUUCUUGGUUAAAACUCGGUGGUUAAAGAUGGGCAUGCGUUGUAUUAGCGUGGUUGGUGAGGUAACCG